GUAAAUACCUUAACGAGGAACAAUUGGAGGGCAAGUCUGGUGCCAGCACGCCGCGGUAAUUCCAGCUCCAAUAGCGUAUGCUUAAAGUUUGUUGCUAAGUUAAAAGCUCGUAGUCGUAAUUUUUAAUUAUUUAUUUUUGUUUAAUUUGGAAUUUCUUUUCUAAAAAGAAAUUUCUUAUUAUGAUAAAUAAUAACAUUUUUGAUAAAUUUCUGAUAAUUUAUUAAUUUAAAUUAUUAUAAAAAUUCUUUAUUCGUAAAGAAUGAAAUUAUCAAUCUUUUACUGUGAAGAAACUUGAGUGUUCAAAGCAAGCUUUUAAAAUUCCGCUUGAAAAAUUCAGCAUGGGAUAAUGAAAUAAGCUAAAAAACGUAACCAUUUUUCGCCGAUUUUCGGUUUUAGAAAGCGUUUAAGAAUGAUUGAUAGGGGCG
rnacentral:rRNA from 1 species